GUGCCAGCAGCCGCGGUAAGACGAACCGUGCGAACGUUGUUCGGAAUCACUGGGCUUAAAGGGCGCGUAGGCGGGCAACCAAGUCUGAGGUGAAAUCCUCCAGCUUAACUGGAGAAGUGCCCCGGAUACUGGUUGCCUCGAGGAUGGUAGGGGCAUCUGGAACUAGCGGUGGAGCGGUGAAAUGCGUUGAUAUCGCUAGGAACUCCGGUGGCGAAGGCGAGGUGCUGGACCAUUUCUGACGCUGAGGCGCGAAAGCCAGGGGAGCGAACGGGAUUAGAUACCCCGGUAGUCCUGGCCCUAAACGAUGAGAACUAGAUAGUGGUGGUGAUAUGCCAUCACUGUCGGAGCAAAAGUGCUAAGUUCUCCGCCUGGGGAGUAUGGUCGCAAGGCUGAA
rnacentral:rRNA from 1 species